UGGAGCGGCUGGCUGGGGCAGAGGGGGCGGGGAGACGAAGAGGACGAGGAGGAAGAGGAGGAGGCCGAGAAGGAAGGUAACUCAAGAAAAUGAAGAAAUGAACAGCAAAGAUGAGCUGCGACGAAGAAAAAUGAAACUGGAACAUCGGAACGGACGAGAAGGGAAGGAAGAGAGAGACCUAAGCUGGAGGGAAGGGAGGGGCGGAGGGAAGGACUGCAAGGAGGAAGACGGAGAGGAGGAGGAGGCGGCGGCGGCUGCAGAGGAGGAGGGAGAGGAGGGGUGGUGGAGGGCUGGGCGGAGAGCGCAUGAUCAAGCCCGACUCAUCAGUGCUCAUUAGUGGGCCGGAGCAGAGAGCCUUAAUUCACGAGUGAAAACAGUGGUUUAUGCAGACCAGCGGCGGGAGGAGGGAGGCGCCGCUCGCUCCUCCCGGCCCUCCCGCCUCCCCGUCAGCCCCGUUUUUCACGCCCUUUCCCGCCCCUCUUACGCCCCUCCAUCCGGAUAUUGAUUCCUCCUGACGACGCCGCUGGGGACCUCCACCGCCUCGCCGGACACCACCACCACCACUACCACCACCUUCACCAUCAUCACCACCAGGCUGAGGAUCGGCAUCAACACCACCCGAUGUUACAAGUUACUCGCCAUCACCACCUUCAUCGUUGUUGUCCUCCUCGUCUCCCUUCGUCUACAGUGCCGAUAAAGAACACCCUGGACAAGCACGCGCCCAAUCAACGCCCUUCCUCGGACCUACACACCUCACGCUGGAAAAGGAGAUAAAAUAAUAUGAACGGUGUCGGGUGAGAGCAAGACACACCUGCCGCGGACACAGGAGCAGAGACGGUACAGGUGUGCAUGAAGCUGGACACGUAGCCUACAGGGGGACCAAACAGACAGCCAUGGAGAUGAAGACUGACAUGUAUAUGGAGUGAAAAAUAGGAGUGACGAGCGUGCAGGUGUAAGUGGGAAAGUAAACAGAUGUAGGGGGAGAGAAAAGGGUGUAGGAGUAGCAGAUGUGGAGAGGAAGAUGGAUAGGUGGAAACGUGCCAUAGACAGACAGGAGGAAGCCAUAAAGAUGUACAAGAAAUAAGGGUGGAGAGGAGGAUGGACAGGUGUAUGGGGGAUAGGCAGGUGUGGGGAAAGGGAAGGUUAUAGAAAAAAUAAAAUAAAAUAAAAUAUAAUAAUAAUAAUAAUAAUAAUAAUAAUAAUAAUAAUAAUAAUAAUAAUAAUAAUAAUAAUAAUAAUAAUAACGAUGAUAA